UUCAUGCGAAACUGCUUUAACUUAUAUCAACAAAGGGCUGAAGGAAUCCCCGACUACCACUAUGAAUGGGAAAUAGUUCAGUUCGAUAUAUGAUAAAAUAGUUGAAAACUAAUGACCAUGACCAUACUUUGCUAUUAUGGCCCCUAUAAUAAAUCGCUAUUCCACUCUCGUCAAAGGGAACACCAGUACAAUUCACAGGGAGCGGUUCACCAAUAGUCAGUAGCAGUCAUUUUCGGUCACCCUUCAAUGAUAACAAUCAAAUGGAUUUCAGUCUUUUCACUUUUCUUAU
rnacentral:lncRNA from 1 species